CCUACGGGAGGCAGCAGUGAGGAAUAUUGGUCAAUGGGCGAGAGCCUGAACCAGCCAUCCCGCGUGCAGGAUGACGGCCCUAUGGGUUGUAAACUGCUUUUCUGCUCCAAGAAACCCACCUACGUGUAGGUGGUUGACGGUAGAGUAGGAAUAAGCAUCGGCUAACUCCGUGCCAGCAGCCGCGGUAAU
rnacentral:rRNA from 1 species